rnacentral:rRNA from 1 species
GUGAGGAAUUUUCCGCAAUGGGCGAAAGCCUGACGGAGCAAUGCCGCGUGAAGGAUGAAGGCCUAUGGGUUGUAAACUUCUUUUCUCAGAAAAGAAUUAUGACGGUAUCUGAGGAAUAAGCAUCGGCUAACUCUGUGCCAGCAGCCGCGGUAAGACAGAGGAUGCAAGCGUUAGCCGGAAUGAUUGGGCGUAAAGCGUCUGUAGGUUGUUUAAAAAGUAUUCUGUCAAAGAUUAGGGCUUAACCCUAGAUAGGCAGAAUAAACUUUUAAGCUAGAGUUUGGUAGGGGCAGGGGGAGUUCCCGGUGGAGCGGUGAAAUGCGUAGAUAUCGGGAGGAACACCAAAGGCGAAGGCACUCUGCUGGGCCAAUACUAACACUGAGGGACGAAAGCGAGGGGAGCAAAUGGGAUUAGAUACCCCAGUAGUCC